rnacentral:rRNA from 1 species
UACAGAGGGGGCAAGCGUUGUUCGGAAUAUUGGGCGUAAAGCGCGCGCAGGUGGUUUCUUAAGUCUGAUGUGAAAGCCCACGGCUCAACCGUGGAGGGUCAUUGGAAACUGGGGAGACUUGAGUGCAGAAGAGGAUAGUGGAAUUCCAAGUGUAGCGGUGAAAUGCGUAGAGAUUUGGAGGAACACCAGGUGGCGAAGGCGACUACUGGUCUGUAACU